rnacentral:misc_RNA from 1 species
AAGUCGUAACAAGGUUUCCGUAGGUGAACCUGCGGAAGGAUCAUUACCUUUCUGGCUGAUUUAAUAGCUUGUCUGGGGGCUGCAGUUUCUGCAGUCUCUUGACGUAGCAUCCUGUGGUUUUUUUGGCGGUACUACAUUGUUUCCCUCGGCGGGCCUUGCUUGCCGGUUGGACAACUAAACUCUUGCAAUUGCAAUCAGCGUCUGAAUUAUAUAAUAAUUACAA